rnacentral:rRNA from 1 species
AACGUAGGAGCCAAGCGUUAUCCGAAUUCACUGGGCGUAAAGCGCGUGCAGGCGGCCUGGUAAGUUGGAUGUGAAAUCUCCUGGCUCAACUAGGAGAGGCCGUUCAAUACUGUCAGGCUAGAGGGCGACAGAGGGAGGUGGAAUUCCGGGUGUAGUGGUGAAAUGCGUAGAUAUCCGGAGGAACACCAGAGGCGAAGGCGACCUCCUGGGUCGCACCUGACGCUCAGACGCGAAAGCUAGGGGAGCAAACGGG